rnacentral:rRNA from 1 species
UACGUAGGAUGCGAGCGUUGUCCGGAAUUAUUGGGCGUAAAGCGAACGUAGGCGGUUUCUUAAGAUUGGUCUUAAAGACCGGGGCUCAACCCCGGGAAUGGAUCGAUAACUGGGAGACUGGAGGACGUCAGAGGAAAGUGGAAUUCCGAGUGUAGCGGUGAAAUGCGUAGAGAUCGGAAAGAACACCAACGGCGAAAGCACUCUGCUGGGCCGACACUGACACUGAGAGACGAAAGCUAGGGGAGCGAAUGGG